GAUGCAGCAUGCCGCGUGUAUGAGAAGGCCUUCGGGUUGUAAAGUACUUUCAGCGGGGAGGAAGGGAGUGAGGCUAAUAACCUUAUUCAUUGACGUUACCCGCAGAAGAAGCACCGGCUAACUCCGUGCCAGCAGCCGCGGUAAUACGGAGGGUGCAAGCGUUAAUCGGAAUUACUGGGCGUAAAGCGCACGCAGGCGGUCUGUCAAGUCGGAUGUGAAAUCCCCGGGCUCAACCCGGGAACUGCAUUCGAAACUGGCAGGCUAGAGUCUCGUAGAGGGGGGUAGAAUUCCAGGUGUAGCGGUGAAAUGCGUAGAGAUCUGGAGGAAUACCGGUGGCGAAGGCGGCCCCCUGGACGAAGACUGACGCUCAGGUGCGAAAGCGUGGGGAGCAAACA
rnacentral:rRNA from 1 species